rnacentral:rRNA from 1 species
AACGAACAACGCUGGCAGCACGCCUAACACAUGCAAGUCGAGCGCACUUAUUUACUUCGGCUUAUAAGCGAGCGGCGGACGGGUUAGUAACGCGUGGGAACGUACCCUUUACUACGGAAUAGCCUUUGGAAACGAAGAGUAAUACCGUAUACGCCCUUUGGGGGAAAGAUUUAUCGGUAAAGGAUCGGCCCGCGUAAGAUUAGAUAGUUGGUGGGGUAAUGGCCUACCAAGUCUACGAUCUUUAGCUGGUUUGAGAGGAUGAUCAGCAACACUGGGACUGAGACACGGCCCAGACUCCUACGGGAGGCAGCAGUGGGGAAUCUUAGACAAUGGGCGAAAGCCUGAUCUAGCGAUGCCGCGUGAGUGAAGAAGGCCUUAGGGUCGUAAAACUCUUUCGCCAGAGAUGAUAAUGACAGUAUCUGGUAAAGAAACCCCGGCUAACUCCGUGCCAGCAGCCGCGGUAAUACGGAGGGGGUUAGCGUUGUUCGGAAUUACUGGGCGUAAGGCGCACGUAGGCGGAUUGAUCAGUUAGAGGUGAAAUCCCAGGGCUCAACCCUGGAACUGCCUUUAAUACUGUCAGUCUAGAGAUCGAGAGAGGUGAGUGGAAUUCCAAGUGUAGAGGUGAAAUUCGUAGAUAUUUGGAGGAAACACCAGUGGCGAAGGCGGCUCACUGGCUCGAUACUGACGCUGAGGUGCGAAAGUGUGGGGAGCAAACAGGAGUUAGAUACCCUGGUAGUCCACACCGUAAACGAUGAAUGCCACGUCGUCGGGCAGUAUACUGUUUCGGUGACACACCCUAACGGAUUAAGCAUUCCGCCUGGGGAGUACGGUCGCAAGAUAAAACUCAAAGAAUGAUGACGG